GGGAAUGUGGCUUAGUGGUAGAGUGCUUGCCUAAUAUGCAAGAAGUCCUGGGUUCAAUUUCUUAGUGCCA
rnacentral:tRNA from 1 species